rnacentral:rRNA from 1 species
GAAUUGCUAGUAAUCGCGGAUCAGCAUGCCGCGGUGAAUACGUUCUCGGGCCUUGUACACACCGCCCGUCACACCAUGGGAGUCGGUAACACCCGAAGUCUGUAGCCUGACGCAGGAGGGCGCAGCCGAAGGUGGGAUUGAUGACUGGGGUGAAGUCGUAACAAGGUACC